AAAAUUUCCAAUAGUACCUUGGAAGCACCAGUUCCGCAUGGAUCACUGAAGUUGAGCACGGUUGCGCGUGGUUAAGUACCUGGAUGGGUGACCAUCUGGCCAAUACUGCCAAUAGCGUGCU
rnacentral:rRNA from 1 species